AUAUUUAUAAACACAAUAUAUAUACAUAUAUAAUCAUGAUGCCUCAAUUCUUCAUUACGAGGCUACAAUAUGAAAUUAUCCGUUUGCAAAGGAAAGGUAAACUCAAAUUAGUGAAUUCAGAAAAAACAUAUCUCCAUUUAUAAUUAAAAGGAUUUCCACAACCAAGACUUGAUUAUGAAACCCGCCAAUGAAAUAAUAUUUUAAAUACCAUAUAUCUUCUUUCACCAUGUAUUCUAGGACAUAUUGAAAACUAUACAUUUAAAAAAUUUCCAUAUGCAAAGGAAGUAUAUGGGAAGUUCCAUUUAUUACAGUCAUAAGCAAAACUGUUUGGUAUCUAAGUAUAAAAAUAUGAUUCAUUAUAAUAUAUUACAGAUUUCUAUUACUCGGAACUAAGUAUAAAUAUCAUCUAGUUUUUAGUUGUUUCAGCUGCAAAUCUUUAUGAAAUUAACUUUUAUACCAAAUCCAGAUGCCCUAAUUUAAUAUUUUUUACAAGUCAAAAAAUGAAGCAACACUAUUCGUAAGGAAAGGCCGUGAUUAAGGAUUUUGGAUAACAACAAUUGCAAUUUUAAUGCGUGUAAUGCAGUAUAUAUAUAUAUAUAUAUAUAU